AUUGAACGCUGGCGGCCGGCUUAACACAUGCAAGUCGAGCGAGCGGCGGACGGGUGAGUAAUGUCUGGGAAACUGCCUGAUGGAGGGGGAUAACUGCUGGAAACGGUCGCUACUACCGCAUACCCUCAGAUGUGCCGAGAUGGGAUUAGCUAGUAGGUGGGGUAAUGGCUCACCUAGGCGACGAUCCCUAGCUGGUCUGAGAGGAGUACCAGCAACCCUGGAACUGAGACACGGUCCAGACUCCUACGGGAGGCAGCAGGGGGGAAUAUUGAACAAUGGGCGCAAGCCUGAUGCAGCCAUGCCGCGUGUAUGAAGAAGGCCUUCGGGUUGUAAAGUACUUUCAGCGGGGAGGCGUUACCCGCAGAAGAAGCACCGGCUAACUCCGUGCCAGCAGCCGCGGUAAUAC
rnacentral:rRNA from 1 species